UAUGGUGUGUGCCAGCCGCCGCGGUAAUACGUAGGGGGCAAGCGUUAUCCGGAAUUACUGGGUGUAAAGGGUGCGUAGGUGGUAUGGCAAGUCAGAAGUGAAAACCCAGGGCUUAACUCUGGGACUGCUUUUGAAACUGUCAGACUGGAGUGCAGGAGAGGUAAGCGGAAUUCCUAGUGUAGCGGUGAAAUGCGUAGAUAUUAGGAGGAACAUCAGUGGCGAAGGCGGCUUACUGGACUGAAACUGACACUGAGGCACGAAAGCGUGGGGAGCAAACAGG
rnacentral:rRNA from 1 species